GACAGAGGGUGCAAACGUUGUUCGGAAUUACUGGGCGUAAAGCGCGUGUAGGCGGUUCGGUAAGUCCGCUGUGAAAGUCGGGGGCUCAACCCUCGGAUGCCGGUGGAUACUGUCGAGCUUGAGUACGGAAGAGGCGAGUGGAAUUCCUGGUGUAGCGGUGAAAUGCGCAGAUAUCAGGAGGAACACCAAUUGCGAAGGCAGCUCGCUGGGACGUUACUGACGCUGAGACGCGAAAGCGUGGGGAGCAAACAGG
rnacentral:rRNA from 1 species